AAUUGAUCAAUGUCACUUGUCCCAUUUACCUAACAUCAUUCUCGCUUUCUUGAAGUCUACUUUCUGCCAGAAAAGCGAAAACCCAGAGCUUACAAUUCUUCUUAAACAUGUUGUCACUAAUAAAUACCCCAAGGGAGAACGGUCAAAAUGUUUUAGCUUCCUAUCAAAUAACAAGUGAAUAUAAGCCUAAAUCACUACUAUUUUGGAAAGAUAGGCCUUCCCCCAUAAGAUGAACUUGGUGACAAAUUUCUUCAAGCAAUAU
rnacentral:misc_RNA from 1 species